GCCCCCGUAGCUCAGUUGGACAGAGCAGCCGCCUUCUAAGCGGCCGGUCCCAGGUUCGAGCCCUGGCGGGGGCG
rnacentral:tRNA from 1 species